rnacentral:rRNA from 1 species
UACAGAGGGUGCUAGCGUUGUUCGGAAUCAUUGGGCGUAAAGGGCGUGUAGGCGGUUUGUUAAGUCAUGUGUGAAAUCCCUCGGCUCAACCGGGGAACGACGCAUGAAACUGGCAAGCUAGAGUACCAAAGAGGGGGGUGGAAUUCCCGGUGUAGCGGUGAAAUGCGUAGAGAUCGGGAGGAACACCGGCGCGAAGGCGGGUCUCUGGGCCGAUACUGACGCUGAGGAGCGAAAGCGUGGGGAGCGAACAGG